rnacentral:rRNA from 1 species
AAACCCAAGGUUUCCAGGGGAAGGUUCGUCCGCCCUGGGUUAGUCGGGACCUAAGCUGAGGCCGAAAGGCGUAGGUGAUGGACAACAGGUUGAUAUUCCUGUACUAUCGAUAACCGUUUGAGAGAAGGGAUGACACAGUAGGAUAAGCUAAGCACACUGUUGGUUAUGUGUGCCCAAGCAUUGAGGCAGUCAAAGUAGGCAAAUCCGCUUUGA